GACGAAGGAUGCAAGCGUUAUCCGGAUUCAUUGGGUUUAAAGGGAGCGUAGGUGGUCUUAUAAGUCAGUGGUGAAAUCUCUGGGCUUAACCCAGAAAUUGCCAUUGAUACUGUAGGACUUGAGUAUAGUUGCCGUUGGCGGAAUAUGACAUGUAGUGGUGAAAAUACAUAGAGAUGUCAUAGAACACCGAUUGCGAAGGCAGCUAACGAAACUAUAACUGACACUGAGGCUCGAAAGUGCGGGGAUCAAACAGG
rnacentral:rRNA from 1 species